GUGAAAAUAAACAUUUCAUGAAUAGUAAUAAAUUUCAACCAAAAUAUUCAAUUAACAUUCUCACGCAGAUCAGAAAAACAUGUCCAAAGAUUUAUUUUUUUUUAAAUUACUAAACGAUAAAGCAGACUGUUAUUGACCAAUUAUAUGACCAAAAAUAUUAAUUCAUUCAAUUUUAUUUGUAUAGCACCAAAUCACAACAAGCGUUUUAUAUUCUCAGGCAAAGAAACUACCAUAAUAAUGAGCAAGCGUUUUGGCGACAGUGGGAAGGAAAAACUCCCUUUAAACAGGAAGAAACCUCCAGCAGAACCAGGCUCAGGGAGGGGCGGGGCCAUCUGCUUAAAUCUCAAAUUCAUGAAUUAUCAGAAUAUAUGAUUAAAUGUUUUCUGAAAAAUUUAAGGAAAACACGUUUUAAGUAGUGUAAAUAAAACUGUAUGAAAAUAUGAACAAUAUUCAUGAAAAUAUAUAUUAAAUAUAAUUCUAUACAAUCAGACCACAAGAGUCGCCCCCUGCUGGCCUCUCUGUAGAACUAACAGCUGCAUCCAUCUUUUAAAUACAGUCUGAGAAAAACUACUCAAACUAUCGAGGACUCUGAAAAUCAGCUGCUCGUAUUUAUGAAGCAAAAUCAUUUUUAAAAAUGAGAAAUUUCUCAAAAAUAUGAAUUUAAAUUCAGACACAUAUAAAAAAAAGUCAGGCUGAUCGUUUCGAUCAUGGCAAAUUUAUUUCUGCAUUAAACAUGAGCAAAAAAACCUUUAUAAUAAUUAUAAAACACAGACUUAGGAACGAGCUGAAAGCAGCAGUCGAUCAUGCAGCUGUUCAAACGCCUCUGAAGCUUUGGCUGAAGCUGAACUGCUCCUGCAGAACAUCAGUGGAAAAUGGCAUCGGGAACAUUUUUAAAAUAGAUCAUUGGCUGUGCUAAAGACUGAACAAAUAUGGCAAAAGUACAGCGAAGCGUCGCAGGAUAGCACCUUUUUCUUUGCAUUCGAUCAUUUUGGCACAAUCGUCCAAUUUAAAAGAAAAAUACUGUCCUUUAAAAACAGGCUCCGCAGCAUUUACAGUAUAUACAGUCACCACAGUAUAGACCAUGUGCAGCAGGGCAUUUCUAAUAGAAAUAUAAAGCCUUUAUACAUCCUUACACUCUAGCUUUUCAUUCCUGUCAGGCACAACACUGAAUAAGCUGCUGGCAGACGAGCUAAAGCAGAGAGCCGUGAUUGUUCCCGAUGUCAAACUGUCUGUUAUCGUGGCAACAAGCACUUCAUUAUCACACGGAACAAGCGCAGCUCAGAGUGGGAGGCUCCCAGCUGAGCACGGACACGUGAAAGCAACAUGACCACGACGGCACACGCUCAGCUCGUCUUCAAUCGCUUGUUUUUGUGCUUCUUGUUCCACCGCCUCCCUGUGGACGGUUUUUUCUCGGUGGCGAGUCUGUGUGUCUCCGUGGAGGUCGUGGGUCUCUCUGAGCCCUUUGGGCGUCGUUUUGCAUCAAUUUGGGACGUUUUGAAGCAAUUUGCGGUCAUUUUUGUUCAUUUGGGUCGAGAUUAGGUUGCAACCCAUUCACACAGAGACCAGAAUACUUAAGCUGUCAGAUCAGGCCUCUUACAGAGAGUCUGACCUCGGAGUUCGUCUUAGUAAGUUUCCAGUUGAGUGGAUGUUAAAAGGUCAUGUGACAUUUUCUCUGGUCUCCAGACACCUUCAUCUUCAUAACGUGUAUUUCUGUAGCUCCCUUAUAUGCAUCGUGUGCAGCUGAUGAUGAGCUUCGUAUGUUCACGAGCAGAACGAGCAGACUGCAGGAUGAAGCUCUGAAGAAACGCUUCUUCAGUCCAUCUCAGUCCCCGUGGGCUCUCGGUUUCACGAUCCAAAGUUUGGACCUGUAAAAGGAUUGCUGUGAAACUUUAGCUUCAUACAGUGGCUGCAAAAGUAUUCGGCCCCCUUGAACUUUUCCACAUUUUGUCACAUUACAGCCACAAACAUGAAUCAGUUUCAUUGGAAUUCCAGGUGAAAGACCAAUACAAAGUGGUGUACACAUGAGAAGUGGAA
ensembl:lncRNA